GUCGGGGGUGGUGGCUCACACCUGUAAUCCCGGCACUUUGGGAGGCUGAGACAGGGGCAUCACCUGAGGCCAGGAGUUCGAGACCAGCCUGGCCAAUAUGGUGAAACCCUGUCUCUA
ensembl:misc_RNA Metazoa_SRP Metazoan signal recognition particle RNA